rnacentral:lncRNA from 1 species
CUGACACCAGAUAACGCACGAAUUAACAAGUGCAGGCUGCUUCCAGGACGUACUCAAGGUAGUGCUGGAGAGUGAACCUCAACACUUGUGGAUUCUCAGAGAGGUCUGGAUAAUCGUCAGAAGAUUUUGGGAAUGUCUUGAGCAAGGACAUUGGCAUCUAAGCUCCCAGCAUAGCCUGGCUGAGGCUUUGUGGCAGAAAGAUGCAGGUGCAAUGAGGCAGUCAUCUCAGUCCAACAAAGAACAACGCUUUUGGUAAGGAAAGUAGUUUUCUUUGUAAAUCUGAUCAGCUUUGAAAAACAAGCAAAAUGCUGAAGUAUCUGAAAGUUGCCUUUGAAGUAGAACAGUUUUCAUGUAAACUCAUCUUCUAUGUGAUAAAGUAAAUAACUUUUAAUCUUUG